UCUUCCUGCAGCAGUUCCAGCAGCCGGGCAUUUAUGUCUUUCGUCUGAGCAGCAACCGACAUCGGAAGAUGAUUCAGUGUCACAGCCUGAGCUGGGCUCGGAAGGCUGCUCCCCACCCCACCUUCAGGAGACAUCAGCAAGAAUACAACCUCGAUGCCUACACUUCCCUAAGAACUGGGAUAAUGUCAAUGAGGAGAGGCCAAUCUCACCAAGACUCUGAUGCCCCAAGGGUUGAGGGGGGUCCUGGUGGGAGCUGGGAGGCUGAGGAGCAGUAGACCUGGAGUGGUUUGACACAGAGGCCUUCUUUGGAAUCCUCCUCAGGCAGUCUCUGUCAGUGACAGCCAAACUCAGCCAGACCAAGGAAGAGCUCAAACUCCUCUACCUUAAACUUCUGCGUGAAGCCCGUUCUCUGCAGCAGAUGUGGGGAGCAAGGCGCUGCCUCCCAGCCUCCACUAACCGGCUUCUGGGGAGCGUGCAGAGGGAGCAGCAGCAGGGCAGUUCCCCAGCUGGACACUGUGCUGGGCCACCUGUCCCAGGUCGUGCUGCAGGAGGGCCACCGCCUGAGGGCCUGGGGCAUUCUGGGCACUGGCACUGGGGUGGAGCUACUGCGGCCAGCCCCAGCAGGCCCUCCUGGUGCUGAUGACAUCAGUGUGAAUUCCGUCACCAAGUUGAUGGUCCCUGGCCCCAACUGCUUGAUGCUUCCAGC